rnacentral:rRNA from 1 species
AUUGAACGCUGGCGGCAGGCCUAACACAUGCAAGUCGAACGGUAACAGGAAUCAGCUUGCUGAUUUGCUGACGAGUGGCGGACGGGUGAGUAAUGUCUGGGAAACUGCCUGAUGGAGGGGGAUAACUACUGGAAACGGUAGCUAAUACCGCAUAACGUCGCAAGACCAAAGAGGGGGACCUUCGGGCCUCUUGCCAUCGGAUGUGCCCAGAUGGGAUUAGCUAGUAGGUGGGGUAAAGGCUCACCUAGGCGACGAUCCCUAGCUGGUCUGAGAGGAUGACCAGCCACACUGGAACUGAGACACGGUCCAGACUCCUACGGGAGGCAGCAGUGGGGAAUAUUGCACAAUGGGCGCAAGCCUGAUGCAGCCAUGCCGCGUGUAUGAAGAAGGCCUUCGGGUUGUAAAGUACUUUCAGCGGGGAGGAAGGGAGUAAAGUUAAUACCUUUGCUCAUUGACGUUACCCGCAGAAGAAGCACCGGCUAACCCCGUG